CCAAAGCGACGAUCCGUAGCGGGUCUGAGAGGAUGAUCCGCCACACUGGGACUGAGACACGGCCCAGACUCCUACGGGAGGCAGCAGUGGGGAAUUUUGGACAAUGGGCGGAAGCCUGAUCCAGCCAUGCCGCGUGAGUGAAGAAGGCCUUCGGGUUGUAAAGCUCUUUCGGCCGGGAAGAAAUCGCAUGGGUCAAUACCCUGUGUGGAUGACGGUACCGGAAUAAGAAGCACCGGCUAACUACGUGCCAGCAGCCGCGGUAAUACGUAGGGUGCGAGCGUUAAUCGGAAUUACUGGGCGUAAAGCGUGCGCAGGCGGUUUGGUAAGUCAGAUGUGAAAUCCCCGGGCUCAACCUGGGAACUGCAUUUGAGACUGCCAAGCUGGAGUUUGGCAGAGGGGGUGGAAUUCCACGUGUAGCAGUGAAAUGCGUAGAGAUGUGGAGGAACACCGAUGGCGAAGGCAGCCCCCUGGGCCAAUACUGACGCUCAUGCACGAAAGCGUGGG
rnacentral:rRNA from 1 species